rnacentral:rRNA from 1 species
CCUACGGGAGGCAGCAGUGGGGAAUAUUGGACAAUGGGCGAAAGCCUGAUCCAGCAAUGCCGCGUGAGUGAUGAAGGCCUUAGGGUUGUAAAGCUCUUUUACCAGGGAUGAUAAUGACAGUACCUGGAGAAUAAGCUCCGGCUAACUCCGUGCCAGCAGCCGCGGUAAUACGGAGGGAGCUAGCGUUGUUCGGAAUUACUGGGCGUAAAGCGUACGUAGGCGGUUAUUCAAGUCAGAGGUGAAAGCCUGGAGCUCAACUCCAGAACUGCCUUUGAAACUAGAUAGCUAGAAUCACGGAGAGGUUAGUGGAAUUCCGAGUGUAGAGGUGAAAUUCGUAGAUAUUCGGAAGAACACCAGUGGCGAAGGCGACUAACUGGACGUGUAUUGACGCUGAGGUACGAAAGCGUGGGGAGCAAACAGGAUUAGAUACCCUGGUAGUCCACGCCGUAAACGAUGAUAACUAGCUGUUCGGUCUCUACGAGACUGAGUGGCGCAGCUACGACAUUAAGUUAUCCGUCCGUCGGGUAGGUACGGUCGCGAAGAAUUAAACUAACAAGAAAGUUAGACGGCGUGAGACGUGCCGACGGACGACGACGAGGGAGGUAGG